rnacentral:rRNA from 1 species
UACGGAGGGUGCUAGCGUUGUUCGGAAUUACUGGGCGUAAAGCGCGUGUAGGCGGUCGAGCAAGUCAGAUGUGAAAGCCUCCCGCUUAACGGGAGAAGGGCAUUUGAAACUACUCGGCUAGAGUUCGGGAGAGGAGAGUGGAAUUCCCGGUGUAGAGGUGAAAUUCGUAGAUAUCGGGAGGAACACCGGUGGCGAAGGCGGCUCUCUGGCCCGACACUGACGCUGAGACGCGAAAGCGUGGGGAGCAAACAGG